CCGGGGAAUUGCCCUAGUAACGGCGAGUGAAGCGGCAACAGCUCAAAUUUGAAAUCUGGCUUCCUGUAGGGGGCCCGAGUUGUAAUUUGCAGAGGGUGCUUCGGCGUCGGCCCCGGCCUAAGUUCUUUGGAACAAGGCAUCACAGAGGGUGAGAAUCCCGUUCGUGGCCGCCGGUCUUCGCCGUGUGAAGCCCCUUCGACGAGUCGAGUUGUUUGGGAAUGCAGCUCUAAAUGGGAGGUAUAUUUCUUCUAAAGCUAAAUACCGGCCAGAGACCGAUAGCGCACAAGUAGAGUGAUUGAAAGAUGAAAAGCACUUUGGAAAGAGAGUUAAAAAGCACGUGAAAUUGUUGAAAGGGAAGCGCUUGCCGCCAGACGUGCGCGCCGAUGCUCAUCCCGACGCUGUGUCUGGUGCACUUGUCGGCACGCAGGCCAGCAUCGGUUCGGGGGGUCAGACAAAGGCCACGGGAAUGUAACUCUCUUCGGGGAGUGCUAUAGCCCGGGGUGCCAUGUGGCCAGCCGGGAUCGAGGUCCGCGCUUUGGCUAGGAUGCUGGCGUAAUGGCCGCAAGCGGCCCGUCUUGAAACACGGACCAAGGAGUCUAACAUCUAUGCGAGUGUUUGGGUGUCAAGCCCGAGCGCGCAAUGAAAGUGAACGGAGGUGGGAACCCUGUUUUGGGGCGCACCAUCGACCGAUCCUGAUGUCUUUGGAUGGAUUUGAGUACGAGCAUAGCUGUUGGGACCCGAAAGAUGGUGAACUAUGCCUGAAUAGGGUGAAGCCAGAGGAAACUCUGGUGGAGGCUCGCAGCGGUUCUGACGUGCAAAUCGAUCGUCAAAUUUGGGCAUAGGGGCGAAAGUACGUGUUUCCCCCUUUUUUUUUUUUUUGUUGUAUUGGAGAAACAACAGCUAACAUACUCUAUAGGACUAAUCGAACC
rnacentral:rRNA from 1 species